GUCAACCCCGAGGCCGAAAGCUCUUUAAUGGUCCGAUUGUCCGCGGCCAUAACUUCUUCUUCCACUUCUUCAAACUCAGAUUCGGCCUCUGAACUUGAACUAGGUUCACUAGGUUCGGGAUGCCUCCUCUUUCUUCUCAAAUCACGUUCAAAAUCGUCGUUAAAGUCCAAGAUGUUUGCAUGCACAGUUUGAGAACUCCGCGUCAUGCACUAGUACCUAAACCAAGAAAACAAAACAAAAUCAGAAAACUAGGUAAAUUAAAUCAAGACACACGGCAACAACACAAGGGAUUGGCAAUUUUGCUAAUCCCCGGCAACGGCGCCAAAAUUUGAUGUGAAAAUUAACUUGACACACAAAUUAAACCCUAUGGAUGACAAUUGUAGUAUAUGAGCAAAUAGGGAUCGUUCUAGACCGGGGAUUAACUAGGGAUGCUAAUCAAUGUAAAUCUGACUCAAGAACAUAAAAUUAUAAUGUAGGACACUAAACUAAACUCAAUUAAUGCAAAACUAGAAUUUAAAACACCUAAACAAACUAAAAACUCAAAAUAGCAACUAGAAGGCUCAAAACUGCCUUAAAACCACUUUCUGGGCAGUUUUGAGUACCUAACACUAGUUUGGACGAAUUUGGACUAUGACUUGACUCAAAACACUUAAAAACACAACUAAAUGGAUUUCUAACUAAUCUAACACUUUAAAAUAAAUGGGGGAUUGAUUGUGACGAAAUUAAAACUUUAAAACUUAACUUUGAAAACAAAUGCAAAGCAAAACAGAUUGUGAUAAAAUAGAAUGGUGAGAAGCUAGUUAGAGGGUUCCUUAUCCACACAUGAACAUAUGUAUACAAUUCGAUCUCCAAUUACUCUUUCAACAAACCAUGAAUGACAAUGCCCCAAAUUAACUAGAUUGCACCAAUUAAUUCU
rnacentral:lncRNA from 1 species